UACGUAGGGGGGCUAGCGUUGUCCGGAUUUAUUGGGCGUAAAGAGCGUGUAGGCGGCCAGGUAGGUCUGCUGUGAAAACUCGAGGCUCAACCUCGAGACGUCGGCGGAAACCAUUUGGCUAGAGUCCGGUAGGGGAGUGUGGAAUUCCCGGUGUAGCGGUGAAAUGCGCAGAGAUCGGGAGGAACACCCGUAGCGAAGGCGGCACUCUGGGCCGGUACUGACGCUGAGGAGCGAAAGCGUGGGGAGCAAACAGG
rnacentral:rRNA from 1 species